GUGGGAGCGAGCCUGCUCGCGAAGGCGUCAGGCCAGUCAAUAUACAUAUCGAAUGACACAUGGCUUUCGCGAGCAGGCUCGCUCCCAC
rnacentral:misc_RNA from 1 species